CUAUUUUUAUCCUGGAAAAUCAAAGAGUUCCCACGGGAUUCCCAAAAAAACCAUCCGUUUAAGCGAUUUAUAAGAAAAUUUGGGUACACA